rnacentral:tRNA from 1 species
GGCUCUGUAGCUCAGUGGUAGAGCGCCUGUCUCAUGAGCAGGAAGUCGAGAGUUCAAUUCUCUCUAGAGCCA